rnacentral:rRNA from 1 species
GACGAACGCUGGCGGCGUGCUUAACACAUGCAAGUCGAACGGUAAGGCCCUUCGGGGUACACGAGUGGCGAACGGGUGAGUAACACGUGGGUGAUCUGCCCUGCACUUCGGGAUAAGCCUGGGAAACUGGGUCUAAUACCGGAUAGGACCCUGGGAUGCAUGUCCUGGGGUGGAAAGCUUUUGCGGUGUGGGAUGGGCCCGCGGCCGAUCAGCUUGUUGGUGGGGUGAUGGCCUACCAAGGCGACGACGGGUAGCCGGCCUGAGAGGGUGAACGGCAACACUGGGACUGAGAUAGGGCCCAGACUCCUACGGGAGGCAGCAGUGGGGAAUAUUGAACAAUGGGCGCAAGCCUGAUGCAGCGACGCCGCGUGAGGGAUGACGGCCUUCGGGUUGUAAACCUCUUUCAGCACCGACGAAGCGCAAGUGACGGUAGGUGCAGAAGAAGGACCGGCCAACUACGUGCCAGCAGCCGCAGUAA